AAUCAACGCUGGCGGCGUGCCUCAGACAUGCAAGUCGAACGCGAAAGGCCCCUUCGGGGGCUGAGUAGAGUGGCGUCCGGGUGAGUAACACGUGGGUAAUCUACCUUCGGGUGGGGAAGUAACAGUCGGAACGACUGCUAAUACCGCAUAAUGCAGCGGCACCUAAUGGUGACAGUUGUUAAAGCGGGGGAGUCGCAAGACCUCGCGCCUGAAGAGGAGCCCGCGGCGGAUUAGCUAGUUGGCAGGGUAACGGCCUACCAAGGCGACGAUCCGUAGCCGGCCUGAGAGGGCGGUCGGCCACACUGGCACUGACACACGGGCCAGACUCCUACGGGAGGCAGCAGUCGGGAAUUUUGGGCAAUGGGCGAAAGCCUGACCAGCAACGCCGCGUGAAGGAUGAAGCUUUUCGGAGUGUAAACUUCAUAAG
rnacentral:rRNA from 1 species